AGCCCUAAGUGGGUGGUAAACUCCAUCUAAGGCUAAAUAUAACCACGAGACCGAUAGCGAACAAGUACCGUGAGGGAAAGUUGAAAAGCACUUUGAAGAGAGAGUUCAAGAGUACGUGAAACCGUUUAGGGGUAAACCUGAGAAACCCGAAAGGUCGAAGGGAGAAAUUCAUUCGUGUUUCGCGAUCGGCUUUAGGUUCGCGUGCGACGGAGGGCGUUCGCGCUCUUCCGCGCCACGGGCUUAACGAUCCGGCUGCGAACGCGUGCACUUUUCUCCUGGUAGGACGUCGCGAUCCGUUGAGUGUCGGUCUACGGCUGACGGUGGAGCCCGGAAGUACGGUUCGCGCCGUUGCUUCCGGACCCGUCUGUUUCCCGGCCGGCUCGCUCGACGGUACGCUAACGGUUUUAGGCCGCUCCCUUUGCGAGCGUUCGGCUCGCGGCAAGCGCGCCAUUCGUUGUCGGUGCGCGGACCUAGCGCCGCGCCUGACCUUUGGUGACUGUUGGCCGCGAAGUUCUCGAACAGACCUUUUACCGAUCUGCGACGCUAUAGCUUUGGGUACUUUCAG
rnacentral:rRNA from 5 species